UACGGGGGGGGCAAGCGUUGUUCGGAAUUACUGGGCGUAAAGGGCUCGUAGGCGGCCAACUAAGUCAGACGUGAAAUCCCCAGGCUCAACCUGGGAACUGCGUCUGAUACUGGAUGGCUUGAAUCCGGGAGAGGGAUGCAGAAUUCCAGGUGUAGCGGUGAAAUGCGUAGAUAUCUGGAGGAACACCGGUGGCGAAGGCGGCAUCCUGGACCAAUUCUGACGCUGAGUGAGCGAAAGCCAGGGGAGCAAACGGG
rnacentral:rRNA from 1 species